rnacentral:rRNA from 1 species
AAUAUUGCACAAUGGGGGAAACCCUGAUGCAGCCAUGCCGCGUGUGUGAAGAAGGCCUUCGGGUUGUAAAGCACUUUCAGUAGGGAGGAAGGUAGUGUAGUUAACACCUGCAUUAUUUGACGUUACCUACAGAAGAAGCACCGGCUAACUCCGUGCCAGCAGCCGCGGUAAUACGGAGGGUGCGAGCGUUAAUCGGAAUUACGUGGGACGUAAAGCGCAUGCAGGCGGCCUGUUAAGUCAGAUGUGAAAGCCCCGGGGCUUAACCUCGGAAUUGCAUUUGAAACUGGCAGGCUAGAGUCUUGUAGGAGGGGGUAGAAUUUCAGGUGUAGCGGUGAAAUGCGUAGAGAUCUGAAGGAAUACCAGUGGCGAAGGCCGGCCCCCUGGACAAAGACUGACGCUCAGAUGCGAAAGCGUGGGGAGCAAACAGGAUUAGAUACCCUGGUAG